rnacentral:rRNA from 1 species
UACGGAGGGGGCUAGCGUUGUUCGGAAUUACUGGGCGUAAAGCGCAUGUAGGCGGCUUUGUAAGUUAGAGGUGAAAGCCCAGAGCUCAACUCUGGAACUGCCUUUAAGACUGCAUCGCUUGAAUUGUGGAGAGGUAAGUGGAAUUCCGAGUGUAGAGGUGAAAUUCGUAGAUAUUCGGAAGAACACCAGUGGCGAAGGCGACUUACUGGACACAUAUUGACGCUGAUGUGCGAAAGCGUGGGGAGCAAACAGG